GGGAGGUAUCCAAGGAGUAGUGAGUGAGAAGGCAUGCUGCUGGAGAACUAAGGAGUACAAGCGUGAUCAGGCUUCAGAAAGAAGAUCCUGUGCCUACUGUGUCUCUGCCACAACCCUGAGGACCCAUCUUACAGGACUUUCUUCACAUCCCACCAAUGCUACUACUCAGCGUCCUGGGGCCAAACCCUCAGGGGCCCUCACUCACACAGAAGUGAGCUGUAUGAUGGUUUGGCCAAUCCAGAGGCUAGGCAGAUUGGCCUUGUGAAGGGUGAAAGAUGGCUUCUUAGACCCUCUGUAGACAGGGAACAAGGAACUCUGCUGGUCCUUCUCUCCUACAUGCAGUGAAGGUGGAGGUUAUUGCUACUAAGAGCCUCUGGGGAGCAGCUUGUGGGAGAUACGGAGUGAGAGUCCAAGGAUCUGGCACUCAGAAACAGCCCGCCAGGAACAGGAGUGCAAGGGGAAAGGUUGGAAGAAUAGUCCAUGUGGCUUGUACAGUCCCAAACACUUCCUUUCCUCUGGGUGGUGGGCAUCUCUGAUGGGGCCCUGUGCUGGCUGACAGAGCCAGCUCUGAUGCUGUGUGAGACAGCUGACAGAACAGUUGUGUAACCCCCUUAUGUCUCCUCAAGUUUCACUCAUUCAGGGAGCCCAAACACCACCCCAUGCUGGCAUCAGGCUCCCCAGCGACUCCUGCCGCCGCCCCUGGCAGUGUGGUGCAGUGGAGUUAAGGCCUCCACCCCCUGGCAGCUUCAGAGCAUCUCUCAUGCUGACAUGGCCACAGUGAGCCUAUGCCCCCAGGCCUUGGGUGUGGAUCCCAGCUGAUCCACAGAGCUGUGAUUACUCACCUUUGGAGCAGCAGAGUCAGGAUUUGUCUUCUAGUGCAGGUCAAUGUUGAGCAGUGAUUAAAUAAUUGGAAACAGGAGCGUGAGCUCUGAUCCCACCAGCCAAAGUGGAGGAGGAGCUGUGCCCUCCCAAGCCAGGGUAAGGGAGCUAUGCCCCACCUCCCAAGCCCUUUAACCCCUGCUGUUGAGUGACACCAAGCAUUUCCAAUCCUACCCCCACCUUGAGGACCAUGUCUGCAGCUCUCCUGCUUUGGAGAGCUAUGCCGGAUUCUGAUCCUAUUGCAAAUGCAGCGCAUGACCCGUAUUAAGAAGGUGUAACAGCAAGCCAGCUGUUGGGAGGAACAAAAGAAGCAGCUUGCCAGUGUCCAGAUUCAGGGAUCUGUUACAAAUGCCUGUAGAACUGUAAAGGGUCUGAUUUGUUUUUAAGUGAAUAAAUAAAAAGGUCUUUUCCCCAUUCCAGAAGAAACAAGGAUCACACCACAUUCACUUCAGCCCUGCACAGAAAUGAUGGUGAAAAGAACAGAAACUUCUGCAAUGAACCGCUGAAGCUGUUGUCCACAUAAUUAGGUGAACCUUAGAGAAAAUGUAACAUACAAACUGAGCUCAAAGCGGGGAGAUUACACAUUAUUCAAAAAUGAGAGAGAGAAAGAGAGAGAGAGAGAGAGAGAGAGAAAUGAGCCUAAAAUACACUCCUGAGAAAGGAUUGAAUAAAGACUGCAGGAUUUGGCCCUUGAUGUCCACAAUGUUCUUCCUAUAUACACAUAAAAACUCCCAUUGAUGGGGGUGGACGAUUUUAUCCACAGAUGCACAGGGAUUGACUGUGUAACUUUCACUCAUGCUGGCAAGCACUUACACAAGAAAUCCCACAGAUACUUUAAUUUCUCAUGCUUUCUCAGAAUAACCCUUUGUAAACCUUAUACUGAAAUCUGAUUCCUCAGCGAAAUUUUCUUUCCUCCAUCACACAACCAGGCUGCUUGAUUAUUGUAGGAUAUUACUCCUGGGGACUGGGAUUCUACCAUUUGGGGGAAUUUUUUUUGUUUAGAUAAAAUAAUCGUUGACAUUAGAAAAGAAAUCUGUCAUAUACAGAAUUACAUGGACUUUGCAAAUCAACAGAAGGAAUAGAAGACAAGUGGGGUUUUAGGAUAAGAGAUCUGGGACUUGAUUUUUAGUAAAUUAUGCAAGUGGUAUUGGUGCAUAUGCUUAGAAUCUGAUGCAAUUCCCUUUAAAGUCAAUGAAAAAAGGCUUUCACUGACUUCAUUUGAACUGGAUCAGGCCCUUAUUGCAUGUGCACUUACAGUGCAAAGAUUUGUGCAAGCACAUGGCCA